GGAGAGAUGGCAGAGCGGUCGAAUGUACUACCUUGGAAAGGUAGCAGGGGAGCAAUCCUCUCGGGGGUUCGAAUCCCCCUCUCUCCG
rnacentral:tRNA from 1 species